CCGAGAUGCAAAGAAACCUUUCCUGAUAAAAACAAAAAAGAUAACGAUCGACGAGAACAGCGCAGCCAAACACACACACAGGUUUGAACCAUAUAUAAUUGGUUGGCGCAUCAUCAUUAGCCAUCUUUCUGACUCUCUCUCACUCUCUAUUUAUAAGCCACCUCUGCUGUUAUACUACCACCACAACCAAAAAUGUGUUAUCCGAUUGAUGUUUCUUGUAAUAUCAUUGGUGGGCAUGCUUUGGAUGCCAGACUCAGGCGGUUGGCCACGGCGGUUGCACGGCAGCAACUAGCGGUGGUGCAGGAUAAUAAUAGUACUCCUAAUCAUGCACAACAAGUAGUAAAAAGAGUGGAGGUCAAGAAACAGUAUUGUAUAUGUUCACCAACUGUUCAUCCAGGUUCGUUUAGGUGCAAGCAUCAUUUUGCAGAUUAUGUUUGGGUUGGUCGACCCACUACUACUGUCCAUUCUUAACGUGCGUACCAAGCUUCUUUCCGUCGACUAAUUACUUGAGAAGAAAUCUUUUAUUAUAUGUGCGCGCACAUAAGAUAGUCUUUUUAUAAGAAAAGAACAAAAAAAAGAUGUUAUAUAUCUUUGUGGGUACUUUGUCUUCUGUAUGUUUGUUGCAUUUGAUGACUCGGUUUGUUCAUCUCUCUUUAUAUAUCCAAUUGUUUUGUUAAUUAGUAA